UAUUUCUGCACUCAAAAAUGGACUGGAGAAGUCCCGAUUACCAUAAUGCUACUUUCAGCACUAUUGGUUCUAUAGUCGUGCCAACUCUUAAUGGUCCCCUUAAAUGGACUGGAGAAGUCUUGAUUACCAUAUUUUAGCACUAAUUUAGUUCUUUUGCUGUGCUCAGCUCUGAAUGGCGGAAGAAGCUGUGUUGCAUUACCGUCUCCUUAAAUGGACUGGAGAAGUCCAGAUUACAAUAUUUCUAUUGCCCAGUAAUCCUUGUGGUAAAUGAACUAUAUUUUCAAAAUUAAAGAUUAAAAGGUUUCCAGAUCUAUUUUGUUUUUCUAAUAUGGCAAAUCUAAUAAUAAAUUUAAUUCAAAUUUUGAAUAACUCAAAUGUUUACAUUACACAAACUUUCUGCAGUAUCAGAUACAUUUUUUUCCAUACUUUUUUUUUUUUUUUUUUUUUCUUUUUUCUUAAAUAUACUGCAGCGCCAAGAAAAGAUGUGCAAUGUAAAGAAAUGAGUUAUUGUUUGAAACAUCAAAAAUGUUAAAGUUUCGGGCAAUUUUUUUAUUUGAAUUUUCAGAUCUCGAGACAAUUUUUAUUAAGAAUGCAUGAUCAAGUUCAGAUAAAUUUUUGUUUUUCAAAUAAUUUUAACUGGUAUAAUUAAGAUGGCUUAGACUUUAGUAUGUCAUAGUUAUUGAAGACUGAUUGAUUGAUUGUUGGUGUUUAAUGCUAAUUUCAGCACUAUUGGUUCUUUUGUUGUGCGCAGCUCUGAAUGGUGGAACAAGCUGUGUUGCAUUACCGUCCCCUUAAAUGGACUCGAAAAGUCUGGAUUACCAUAUUUCUAUUGUUGUAUAAUGCUACUUUCAGCACUGUUGGUUCUUUUGUUGUGCCCAGCUCUGAAUGGUGGAUGGAGCCAGAGUGCACUGAGGGAACAAUGACCUUAGGAAGGAAACAGUGGCAGAUAUUUCUGCACUCAAAAAUGGACUGGAGAAGUCCCGAUUACCAUAAUGCUACUUUCAGCACUAUUGGUUCUAUAGUCGUGCCAACUCUUAAUGGUCCCCUUAAAUGGACUGGAGAAGUCUUGAUUACCAUAUUUUAGCACUAAUUUAGUUCUUUUGCUGUGCUCAGCUCUGAAUGGCGGAAGAAGCUGUGUUGCAUUACCGUCUCCUUAAAUGGACUGGAGAAGUCCAGAUUACAAUAUUUCUAUUGCCCAGUAAUCCUUGUGGUAAAUGAACUAUAUUUUCAAAAUUAAAGAUUAAAAGGUUUCGAGAUCUAUUUUGUUUUUCUAAUAUGGCAAAUCUAAUAAUAAAUUAAUUUCAAAUUUUGAAUAACUCAAAUGUUUACAUUACACAAACUUUCUGCAGUUUCAGAUACAUUUUUUUCCAUACUUUUUUUUUUUUUUUUUUCUUUUUUCUUAAAUAUACUGCAGCGCCAACAAAAGAUGUGCAAUGUAAAGACAUGAGUUAUUGUUUGAAACAUCAAAAAUGUUAAAAGUUUCGGGCAAUUUUUUUAUUUGAAUUUUCAGAUCUCGAGACAAUUUUUAUUAAGAAUGCAUGAUCAAGUUCAGAUAAAUUUUUGUUUUUCAAAUAAUUUUAACUGGUAUAAUUAAGAUGGCUUAGACUUUAGUAUGUCAUAGUUAUUGAAGACCGAUUGAUUGAUUGUUGGUGUUAAAUGCUAAUUUCAGCACUAUUGGUUCUUUUGUUGUGCGCAGCUCUGAAUGGUGGAACAAGCUGUGUUGCAUUACCGUCCCCUUAAAUGGACUGGAAAAGUCUGGAUUACCAUAUUUCUAUUGCUGUAUAAUGCUACUUUCAGCACUAUUGGUUCUUUUGUCAUGCCCAGCUCUGAAUGGUGGAUGGAGCCAGAGUGCACGGAGGGAACAAUGACCUUAGGAAGGAAACAGUGGCAGAUAUUUCUGCACUCAAAAAUGGACUGGAGAAGUCCCGAUUACCAUAAUGCUACUUUCAGCACUAUUGGUUCUAUAGUCGAGCCAACUCUUAAUGGUCCCCUUAAAUGGGCUGGAGAAGUCUUGAUUACCAUAUUUUAGCACUAAUUUAGUUCUUUUGCUGUGCUCAGCUCUGAAUGGCGGAAGAAGCUGUGUUGCAUUACCGUCUCCUUAAAUGGACUGGAGAAGUCCAGAUUACAAUAUUUCUAUUGCCCAGUAAUCCUUGUGGUAAAUGAACUAUAUUUUCAAAAUUAAAGAUUAAAAGGUUUCCAGAUCUAUUUUGUUUUUCUAAUAUGGCAAAUCUAAUAAUAAAUUUAAUUCAAAUUUUGAAUAACUCAAAUGUUUACAUUACACAAACUUUCUGCAGUAUCAGAUACAUUUUUUUCCAUACUUUUUUUUUUUUUUUUUUUUCUUUUUUCUUAAAUAUACUGCAGCGCCAACAAAAGAUGUGCAAUGUAAAGAAAUGAGUUAUUGUUUGAAACAUCAAAAAUGUUAAAGUUUCGGGCAAUUUUUUUAUUUGAAUUUUCAGAUCUCGAGACAAUUUUUAUUAAGAAUGCAUGAUCAAGUUCAGAUAAAUUUUUGUUUUUCAAAUAAUUUUAACUGGUAUAAUUAAGAUGGCUUAGACUUUAGUAUGUCAUAGUUAUUGAAGACUGAUUGAUUGAUUGUUGGUGUUUAAUGCUAAUUUCAGCACUAUUGGUUCUUUUGUUGUGCGCAGCUCUGAAUGGUGGAACAAGCUGUGUUGCAUUACCGUCCCCUUAAAUGGACUGGAAAAGUCUGGAUUACCAUAUUUCUAUUGUUGUAUAAUGCUACUUUCAGCACUAUUGGUUCUUUUGUCGUGCCCAGCUCUGAAUGGUGGAUGGAGCCAGAGUGCACGGAGGGAACAAUGACCUUAGGAAGGAAACAGUGGCAGAUAUUUCUGCACUCAAAAAUGGACUGGAGAAGUCCCGAUUACCAUAAUGCUACUUUCAGCACUAUUGGUUCUAUAGUCGUGCCAACUCUUAAUGGUCCCCUUAAAUGGACUGGAGAAGUCUUGAUUACCAUAUUUUAGCACUAAUUUAGUUCUUUUGCUGUGCUCAGUUCUGAAUGGCGGAAGAAGCUGUGUUGCAUUACCGUCUCCUUAAAUGGACUGGAGAAGUCCAGAUUACAAUAUUUCUAUUGCCCAGUAAUCCUUGUGGUAAAUGAACUAUAUUUUCAAAAUUAAAGAUUAAAAGGUUUCGAGAUCUAUUUUGUUUUUCUAAUAUGGCAAAUCUAAUAAUAAAUUAAUUUCAAAUUUUGAAUAACUCAA